UUUUUGUCUCCACCUAUGAGUGCUAGAACUAAACUGGGAAAUAAUUGAUUCUUUGGGAAAGAAAGAUGAGUUGAAAGUGAAUAGAACCCUACUGUAGCAAUUGCCUAUGUGCCUGCUUUUUCAGAGCUGCUUUGCUGGGACCAUAUUUCCCAAAGGAUUUACAGUUCCAUACUCCACUGAUCCAAAGCAUUGUAAUCUGUAAAAAUUGAUUAUUAAGACAGCCCCCGGAUAAUCAUGGAUCAGGGGCUGCUUUACACAAUUGUUGCUGUGGCUGUCUAUGAAGAUGUUAUUAUAGGAUGCAAAGGCCAUGCAGCUGGCUUCACAAUAAAGUGGAAUUCUUUGCAGAAAACUGAUGAGCUACUGCCAGCUUCUAGAUCCAAGGUUCUAAAGACCGCCCACAUUCCUUGGCUCAUGGCCCCCUUCACUCUUUAAGGCCAGCGAUGGCCAGUAGAGUCCCACAUCACACUCCAGCUGGCAGAGCAACACAAGCAGCUGAACGUCAAGGAUACAAGUGGCUGAAUGGCAAGCAGAGAAGCAACUGAGCACCAGAGACUAUGGAUAGAAGAGGCUAACUGCAGAUGGUGUGGCUUCUGAGAGGGGCCCAGCGGGAGAACGCCGGGCUUCAGGGAAAGAUCAUCUUCCCAUCCCCUUUCCAGCCUCCAUUUCCACUGAGCUAAAUAAAGUCUUCUGCAUUCAUCACCUUUCAAA